GAGAAAUUAAAUUUGUUGAUUGAAAAUUUUGACAGAGAAAAUACAUGUGGAGAUAAAUCAAUUAAAGCCUUUCCUUGUAAACUUAUAAUCAGACAAAUAAAAGCAAUUUUAGCUAAAUCGAAAUUAGGAGACAGACAAGCAAUGCAGUGUAACACAGAAAGUUAUAAGAAUCAGAUAACUUCAAGAGAUAUGAUCAGUUUAGGGAAUGAGCAUGGAUAUGUGUGCCAACAGAUGUACACAGGCUGAUUCCAGAAUUAAGAACAGCACAAGAAUAGAGAUCUAUGUUAGUUUGUUGUUUUAAUGAAUUGUUAGUCUGAACUGUUUUUUCAUUG